UAAAAAAGGAAAAAGAAGGGAGUUUCAUCUUCUCCUUCGUGAAGCACCAGCACCUCAGCCCUCACGCCGGUGUUUUGCUCAGAUCGUUGUCUGUCGCUCAACCUAGCCGACGCGUUGCCAUGGUCUUCGCCAGCGAUCACUGUCGUCGAGUCGUGCGUCAUUCGCCUACACUAGUCACAGACGUCAGCAGACACGCACUCGUGUCCAGUCACCGUUUGGGCUCGUGUUGUUCGUGUUGCCAGUCUGUCGCACACUGCCAGUCAGCCGGGCCUCCCUGCCCAAUCCACUGUGUCACCGUCGCUCGUUGGAAUCUUGAAGUUUAGGGUGAUUUGGAGUUUUUUGUGGCAAAAGUGCUGUCCAGCAGAAUUACGUUUUGUUUGGCAAAGGAUUGAUUCAAGCUUUGAAGAAAUUUUAAGGUCGAAAACAUGUUGUCCGGAGUUUUGAGAUCGAUUUUAGGCGGGUUCAACAAAGACUAUUUGUUCCAAUUCAAGAAUUUGUUAAGAGGUAAGAGCAAGGAUACACGAGCGACUGACAAGAGGAAUUCGUGAUAGUGCCCAUGGGACCAGACAAAUGCUUCCGCAUACGAGUUCUUGAGUCGUUUUCAUGUUUUCUGUACGUACUUUAGUUUUUUACAGAACUAGGGUGUUUGGGAUUUUUUUCGGUUGGUUUCCCUUAUUUUAAAAUCUAUGUUUUAGGGGUAUCUUGAAUCAAAAUGUUAUAAAUUUUGA